GCAGAGCAUCCUACGGGAGGCAGCAGUGGGGAAUAUUGCACAAUGGGCGCAAGCCUGAUGCAGCCAUGCCGCGUGUAUGAAGAAGGCCUUCGGGUUGUAAAGUACUUUCAGCAGUGAGGAAGGUGGGUAUGUUAAUAGCAUAUUCAUUUGACGUUAGCUGCAGAAGAAGCACCGGCUAACUCCGUGCCAGCAGCCGCGGUAAUACGGAGGGUGCGAGCGUUAAUCGGAAUUACUGGGCGUAAAAGCGCAUGCAGGUGGUUUGUUAAGUCAGAUGUGAAAGCCCGGGGCUCAACCUCGGAAUUGCAUUUGAAACUGGCAAACUAGAGUACUGUAGAGGGGGUAGAAUUUCAGGUGUAGCGGUGAAAUGCGUAGAGAUCUGAAGGAAUACCGGUGGCGAAGGCGGCCCCCUGGACAGAUACUGACACUCAGAUGCGAAAGCGUGGGGAGCAAACAGGAUUAGAACCCUGGUAG
rnacentral:rRNA from 1 species